rnacentral:rRNA from 1 species
GGAGCUUACUCCCGGAUGUUAGCGGCGGACGGGUGAGUAACACGUGGGUAACCUGCCUGUAAGACUGGGAUAACUCCGGGAAACCGGAGCUAAUACCGGAUAGUUCCUUGAACCGCAUGGUUCAAGGAUGAAAGACGGUUUCGGCUGUCACUUACAGAUGGACCCGCGGCGCAUUAGCUAGUUGGUGAGGUAACGGCUCACCAAGGCGACGAUGCGUAGCCGACCUGAGAGGGUGAUCGGCCACACUGGGACUGAGACACGGCCCAGACUCCUACGGGAGGCAGCAGUAGGGAAUCUUCCGCAAUGGACGAAAGUCUGACGGAGCAACGCCGCGUGAGUGAUGAAGGUUUUCGGAUCGUAAAGCUCUGUUGUUAGGGAAGAACAAGUGCAAGAGUAACUGCUUGCACCUUGACGGUACCUAACCAGAAAGCCACGGCUAACUACGUGCCAGCAGCCGCGGUAAUACGUAGGUGGCAAGCGUUGUCCGGAAUUAUUGGGCGUAAAGGGCUCGCAGGCGGUUUCUUAAGUCUGAUGUGAAAGCCCCCGGCUCAACCGGGGAGGGUCAUUGGAAACUGGGAAACUUGAGUGCAGAAGAGGAGAGUGGAAUUCCACGUGUAGCGGUGAAAUGCGUAGAGAUGUGGAGGAACACCAGUGGCGAAGGCGACUCUCUGGUCUGUAACUGACGCUGAGGAGCGAAAGCGUGGGGAGCGAACAGGAUUAGAUACCCUGGUAGUCCACGCCGUAAACGAUGAGUGCUAAGUGUUAGGGGGUUUCCGCCCCUUAGUGCUGCAGCUAACGCAUUAAGCACUCCGCCUGGGGAGUACGGUCACAAGAAUGAAACUCACCGGAAUUGCACGGGGCCUGCCCAA